rnacentral:rRNA from 1 species
UCCUACGGGAGGCAGCAGUGGGGAAUAUUGCACAAUGGGCGCAAGCCUGAUGCAGCAACGCCGCGUGAGGGACGAAGGCCUUCGGGUUGUAAACCUCUUUUAGUAGGGAAGAAGCGACUGGGUUUUCCUGGGAGUGACGGUACCUGCAGAAAAAGCACCGGCUAACUACGUGCCAGCAGCCGCGGUAAUACGUAGGGUGCAAGCGUUGUCCGGAAUUAUUGGGCGUAAAGAGCUCGUAGGCGGUUUGUCGCGUCUGCUGUGAAAACCCGAGGCUCAACCUCGGGCCUGCAGUGGGUACGGGCAGACUAGAGUGCGGUAGGGGAGAUUGGAAUUCCUGGUGUAGCGGUGGAAUGCGCAGAUAUCAGGGGGAACACCAAUGGCGAAGGCAGAUCUCUGGGCCGUAACUGACGCUGAGGAGCGAAAGCAUGGGGAGCGAACAGGAUUAGAUACCCUGGUAGUCCAUGCCGUAAACGUUGGGAACUAGAUGUGGGGACCAUUCCACGGUCUCCGUGUCGCAGCUAACGCAUUAAGUUCCCCGCCUGGGGAGUACGGCCGCAAGGCUAAAACUCAAAGGAAUUGACGGGGGCCCGCACAAGCGGCGGAGCAUGCGGAUUAAUUCGAUGCAACGCGAAGAACCUUACCAAGGCUUGACAUAUACCGGAAACGGCUGGAAACAGUCGCCCCGCAAGGUCGGUAUACAGGUGGUGCAUGGUUGUCGUCAGCUCGUGUCGUGAGAUGUUGGGUUAAGUCCCGCAACGAGCGCAACCCUCGUCCUAUGUUGCCAGCACGUAAUGGUGGGAACUCACGGGAUACUGCCGGGGUCAACUCGGAGGAAGGUGGGGAUGACGUCAAAUCAUCAUGCCCCUUAUGUCUUGGGCUUCACGCAUGCUACAAUGGCCGGUACAAAGGGCUGCGAUACCGCAAGGUGGAGCGAAUCCCAAAAAGCCGGUCUCAGUUCGGAUUGAGGUCUGCAACUCGACCUCAUGAAGUCGGAGUCGCUAGUAAUCGCAGAUCAGCAACGCUGCGGU